GCUGCAGCUAGCUAGCACUGCAGUGUAUAAAAUGUGGUGAGUCGUUGACUCAAAGAGAAAGACAAUAGUUGAACAGUUUUGCAUUUUUUUUCUUCCCAAAAAAAUGUCAAAUUCACUUAGUUUCACUUACUUAGCUAGCAAAUGCAGCUAGCUAGUUUAGCCUACUGAAACACCCUGCUCAAACAGAGGUAAUGCUAUGACUUUCCAACACAACACUGAAACUCUUCCAAGUCAAGAACAAGAAGGGCUGUGAGCAGAGUCAGAAGCACGGUGAUGGGGACCAGGAGGAUGGCCACGAACAGGAAAACUGGUUCAGGAAGCACCUUCUCUACUUAUGAAAAACACAAGAGGAACAGAUAGGGGUGGCGUCAGUCAUUGAGUGGUAUUGCAGAUACGGAGAGAGAGAGCUACAUUUCAUUGCUAUGCACCGACCCAAAUGGCUGUAUACUGUAUGAUAAACCUGGAUUUAAGUCGACUUGGCAGUCUUCAGUAGAUGUGACACACUGUAACUGUACGGUCUGUGUACGUAAUGACAAAACACUACCUGGCGUCUCAAGCGGCUGUUCGAAGGGCUGGCUCAUUAUCAUAGUGGAGCCCAGGUGGAUUUGACACUCAUAAUUCUUUCCCUUCUCCAAGGGGAGGAUCACAGACAGGGUAACAGGCAGUGACAUGCUGGGGUGAAGAGGAUCAAUGGUCUUUUGGAAUACUUUAGAUCCGUCUUGUAGCAAGGAUAAGAAAAACCCAUCAUCCCGGGAAACAUUCACAGCACACAUGAGUUGGGUCUCAUUCUCAGGGUCAAGCCCAAAGUACAUCAAAUCUGUUUUAGACACACAGAAAGACACACACAUUUGUAUCAUAACAUGGUCUGGUAUAGGAAAUGAAAAGCGGCAAUUAGUGGACAACAUGACAAAAGCAUAGAAAUUGUAUCAUUACCAUGUAUCAACAGCUUAACGCCGCUCCCUUUCGUCCUCUUAUCUUGUUUGGCGGCCCUAUAAGACAGUUUACACUCAUACUUUCCACUGCUAUCCUCCCACUGGACAUUCUUCAGAAGUACAGAUCUGUUCGGUGAGUUGCGGUCACUGUCCAGAACCUCCACACGACCCUUGUACGGUGACUCUGGAUCAGGCCACAGUCUUGUCAUUUGAGUCAAACUUGUAAUUUUAUGCCAGUAGAGAAUGGGAUUCUUUGCCACCUGCUGGUCUGGAGUGUGGAUGAAGUGGCAGUCCAUUGAGGCAUUCUGAGACAGUUUAUACACAACCUCAUCAGGUUUCUGGGUAACUGUCUGGGCCCAGGCUCCUGAGAAAGAAAGUGUAUAUGGAGGCUCUAUGAUGAGUCUGAAAUUAUUGGAAGCCUUGAUAAAGAUGAGCAAAAAAGACUGCAUCAUACAAAUAUUGAGAUUUAUUGUAUACUCCAAAAAAAUGGGAAAUUAUAUUAUGUCAUGCUAAUACAAUUUCUCAGAGAAAAAAUAUUUUAUUUAACUUCUUAUGGCUGCAGGGGCAGUAUUGAGAAGCUUGGAUGAAAGGUGCUGUCACACCCUGACCAUAGUUUGUUUUGUAUGUUUCUAUGUUUUGUUUGGUCAGGGUGUGAUCUGAGUGGGCAUUCUAUGUUGUGUGUCUAGUUUGUCUGUUUCUGUGUUUGGCCUGAUAUGGUUCUCAAUCAGAGGCAGGUGUUAGUCAUUGUCUCUGAUUGGGAACCAUAUUUAGGUAGCCUGUUUGGUGUUGGGGUUUGUGGGUGAUUGUUCCUGUCUCUGCACCAGAUAGGGCUCUUUUGGUUUUUCACAUUUCUUGGUUUUGUUAGUCUAUUCAUGUAUAGUUUCUUUAUUAAAGAACCAUGAAUAAUAA